GGGCCCGCACAAGCGGUGGAGUAUGUGGUUUAAUUCGAUGCAACGCGAAGAACCUUACCAGGGUUUGACAUCCUGCGAAUUUCUGGGAAACCGGAAAGUGCCUUCGGGAGCGCAGUGACAGGUGGUGCAUGGCUGUCGUCAGCUCGUGUCGUGAGAUGUUGGGUUAAGUCCCGCAACGAGCGCAACCCACGUCUUUAGUUGCCAGCAUUUAGUUGGGCACUCUAGAGAGACCGCCGGUGAUAAACCGGAGGAAGGUGUGGAUGACGUCAAGUCAUCAUGCCCCUUACAUCCUGGGCUACACACGUACUACAAUGCUACGGACAAAGAGCAGCAAGUUCGCGAGGACAAGCAAAUCUCAUAAACCGUGGCUCAGUUCAGAUCGUAGGCUGCAACUCGCCUACGUGAAGGAGGAAUCGCUAGUAAUCGCAGGUC
rnacentral:rRNA from 1 species